AUACGUCAUAGGUCAAAGGUGAACGAGGAAUAACAAACGGCAUGAACACGGGGAAGAAGAAACGGAGCGGCGGCUCCUCCAAAGCCGCCAAAAUGGCAGGGAAACGGUCAGUACUGACGGCGGAAGAAGAGGCACGAAGGAGAGAGGAAGUGAAGGAGAAGCUGAGGGAGAGGAUGGAGCUGGAGAGAAGAGCCCUGAAGGUGGUGGAGCGUCUCCUGGAGGACAGCAUAAGUGAGGAUUUCCUGGUUGACUGUGCUAAGUUCAUCACUCAAGCUAAUUACAAAGAUGCUGUAGAGGAGAGAUCCAUUGCCAAACUAUGUGGUUACCCCAUUUGUUCAAAUAAACUGGGAAAGAUCCCCACUCAAAAGUAUAAAAUUUCCACAAAGACCAAUAAAGUGUAUGACAUCACUGAACGCAAGUUUUACUGUAGUAACUUCUGCUACAAGGCCUCCAAAGAGUUUGAGCUACAGAUUUCACCGACAGCCCUUUGGCUCAGGCCGCAUGAGAGCCCUCCAAAAAUAAAGUUGAUGAAGACAGGGGAUGGUGGGAGUUCUGGUGAGGAGGUGAUGCUGUCAGAGAGGCGUCUCCAAGAGGAAGAUGUAGAGGACCCACUAGCUUUACCACCUGCAAGCUGUGACAGCUCUCAGCUGAGUUCUACAGCAUCUGACCUCUGUCACAACGACGACAGUGACAGUGAACAGGAACAGGAGCAGGAGCAGGAGUUCAUCUCCAGUGUGGUUUCCCAGGAACAGGGACGCAGGGUGCACUGGGGUGAACUGCCCAAACGUACAGACGAAGAUGGAGGAGCAAAUAUAGAAAGCAGAGAGGUGGAUGAAGAAGAGACUGAUGACAAGGACUUUUCUGAAAACCAAAGGGUUGAAGAAGUUACAGCAAAGCUGGGUUUGUGCAGUUUAUCACAGACAGUCACUCCCAACACUUCCCUGCCCGAUGGCUCAUCAGCUGCACAAGCCCAAACAAGCAGGCAGCCUUCACGUACUACUUCAUGUGAAGACUUAAACCCCUCUACAGAAAUCAGACCCCAGCUGGGUAUUCCUCAUUCAACUCUAAAGUGCAGUAAUCAGAACAACCACAACAUUCAAAACCAAUCUGACCUCAACAUCACCCAGAUAGGUAUGAGCAAGAGAGGCGCCGCAGGGCUGCGAGACCUGCUCAAGAGCCAGAGUCCCGCAGUGAGGCCUGACUCCAUCCGACUGAAACUUCUCGAAUGCUUGAAAACAACCUUGAAGGCGUGGAGCACAGAUGAGACCUUGAAGUUCCUGUACGGGGCUGAUCACGCACUAGGCGCUCCCUUUGCUAAUGUAAAAGAAGAAACAAAGGAGAUGGAAGGGGAGCUGGAUGAAGAUGAUCUUGAAGAGGGGGUGAAUUUGGAGAAUGAAGGAGCAGUCCGUCACGGGAGGCCAACAGUAGAGGCUCCUGACUACGAAGCGCUGCAGAGGGAGACACAGCAGAUGGAGCUCAGGAUCAGAGAGUUUUACAAUGGGACCUGCUUCAUGCCUGAGGACUUGGAAAAGCCCAAACAAGGUGGAAACAAGGUGACAGCCCAGAACCAGUGCAAGAAGGAACCGGUUCUGCCACUCAUCGACUCUCAAGCUCAGCACAUUCUCCAGAAACGAAUCACAGUGGAGAAGCUAACCGGCUGUCUCAAAAACAUUGUUGGGCCUCUGCGUCUCACCAUGAAUGACGUAACCAACGACCUGAACAAGCUGGUCAGAACGUUUAGGUUCACCAACACAAAUAUCAUACACACAACUCCUGAGUGGACCCUCAUAGCUGUGGUGCUUCUCCACCUCUGUGGAGUCAGCCUGGCCUCCAUUGUUAGGGCAGGCUGAAUAAUGGAUGCCCCCCUGCAACACUAGACCCUGAGGUGAACCGGAGAUUAACCAUAAGUGCACCUCCACACAGGUAGACAGGACCGGGGGGGGGCAGAGCUCAAAUAAAAGAAGGUUGGUGGAGGUGUCUCCCGUGGUGCAGGAGGCCUUGCAGACGCCGGCAUCGGUGGAGUAUGUGGACACGCUAAUGGCUCAGCUCAGCCUCCAGCAGCAGGAUCUGCUCAACAUGGUGCAGCUGUUUAAAACCCCAGCGCAGUCACAUUGACAUGGAGUCAAAAAUAAAUAAUAAACAUGCACUUGAUACAUGACUGGGCAAAAAUAAACAGGAGUUUCUGA